rnacentral:tRNA from 1 species
GUUUUAAUAGUUUAAAUAAAAAUAAUGAUUUUGUAAAUCAUAGAUAGAAAAAAUUCUUUAAAACU